rnacentral:lncRNA from 1 species
CAUCAGAGGUGAAGGCUUCUACUUCGACCUUUCCAAGAAUAGUGUGGCUGUAUGAAUAUUUUCGAACCAGACCCCAAGAGCCAAAAGGCACUCGAGUAGGUUCAGAAAAUGAGAAAUAUAAUGGAUCAUAGGAGGCCUCUGCAUCAACCACAUCAUAACUCUCGUGCAGAAGUACAUUCACCUGAGAUCAUCUGUAGGUCG